rnacentral:lncRNA from 1 species
AGCAAUAGCUCCAAGAUGCCAAGGCGAGCUAUGACGCGUACCGAGCCGGCUGGUGCAAGUAGGUGGAUGAAUACAGGGGGAAGCUCAAGAUGGCGACCGAUGAGGUUGCCCGCCUUCAAAGGCAGCUAGCUGAAGGGGCUUAGUUUGCUCCCGUUCAGGAUUCCGACGAACUCCAAUCCCUAAGAAGGACCGUAGAAGAACUAUCUGUCACCCUUGG